UAUGGUGGUAUAACGUCUAAUAAGCAUGAAAAUGGGGUGGGUUUCCUCGUGCACAAUAGUCUAAUACCAUGGAUUAAACAAUUUAAGGCUAUAAAUGACCGAAUAUUUUACAUUCGGAUCAAUAUGAACCACCGGGACAUGGUAAUGAUUUGCGCAUACGCACCAACCGAAUCAGGAAAUGAAGAAACAAAAGACGCCUUUUAUGAAGAAUUGGAACAAGUAUAUGACGCUUUACCAGGUCAUUGCAUUAAAUUAUUAUUGGGAGAUAUGAACGCCCAAGUGGGAAAAGAAAAUGCAUACAAAGCGACUAUUGGAAAACAUAGUCUACACGACCGAAGUAAUGAUAACGGAAUAAGAUUAAUUAAUUUUGCAAUAAGUAAAAAUAUGGUAAUAAGCAGUACAAGAUUCCCAAGGAAAAAUAUUCAUAAAGAAACGUGGUUAUCUCCAGGAGGAAGAUAUAGUAGCCAAAUUGAUCAUGUCCUUAUAGAAAAUAAAUUUAAGACGAUUAUAAGAAACGUCAAAAGCUACAGAGGAGCAGACGCAGACACAGACCAUUACUUGAUCCUGAUUGACUUCAGAGUAAAGAUGUCCAUGGAAUGGAAAAAGAAACAAAAAAUCCUCGGAAAAUACGAUGUGGAUAAAUUAAAAAAUGAAGAAACAUUACGGACAUUUCAAGAAACAGUGACAAAUUUCUUGGGAAAAAGAGAGGGCAGUGAUAAUGAACAGGUUGAGGAGUCGUGGAAAGUAAUAAAAGCCUCAAUAACGGAAUCCGCAGAAAAAGUCAUUCAACACACACAAAGAAAGAAAACAAAGAAAUGGUUUAAUGAUAAUUGCAAGAAAGGAAUCAAGGAACGCAAUGAAGCCAGAAUCAAAGCAAUCCAUACACCAACCCCCGAGAACAUAAGGGACUUCGAGAACAAACGAAGAGAAGUAACUACACUGAUAAGAAAAGAAAAGAGAAUAGCGGAAAAAGAAAGAUUAGGGGAGAUUGAAAACUUCAAACACAACCCCAGAGAAUUCUUCAAACGUUGCAAAACAUUUAAAAAUGGAUUUAUACCAGCUAUACAGAUGAUAGAAGAUAAUAAUGGUGCUCUAAUUACUAGAUCGGAAAACAUGGCCGAGGAAUUUAGAAUGUACUUUAAGAAACUCCUUAACAGAGGCUCAACAACGGAAGAAGUAGGCGAACAAGACGACACCAUACAUUAUACAGCAGAACCAGAAGUAUUAAACCCAAGUUUAGAAGAGACACAGUAUGCAAUCCAGACUCUAAAAAAUAAUAAGUCACCAGGAGAUGAUAAAAUUGUAGCUGAAUUAUUGAAGUUAGGAGGGAAAAACCUAACACAAAAAUUACAUCAUCUAAUUCAACAGAUAUGGAUAAAGGAAAAGAUACCACAAGACUGGAAUGAAUCAUUGAUAUGUCCAAUUUUCAAAAAAGGUAACCGAAAAAAAGUAGAGAAUUAUAGAGGAAUAACACUCUUGAACACUGGGUAUAAGGUAUUAUCAUUAAUCAUACUUAAAAGAUUGCAAAUUUAUACAGAUGAGAUAGUAGGUAACUACCAAAGCGGAUUUAAAAAAAAUAAAUCAACUACUGAUCACAUAUUUGUCAUAAGACAAAUUAUGGAAAAAAGUUAUGAGUUCGCGAAAGAUCUACAUAUGGUUUUUGUAGAUUACAAACAAGCAUAUGAUAGCAUAAUUAGAUGAAAACUAUGGAAAGUUCUUAAAGACUUUGAUUACCAACUAAAUUAAUCAACAUGAUAAAACUGUGUAACACGAAUACCAGUAGCCGAGUCAAGGUGAACAACGAGAUAUCAUCUUCGUUUAUAAUAAAUAGUGGAUUAAAGCAAGGGGAUGCGAUGUCACCAGUGCUUUUCAAUAUGGCACUGGAGAGUGUAAUAAGAAAGGUACCGCGAACUGAGACAUUAAACCUUGACGAAGGAAAUAUCUUACUAGCAUAUGCAGACGACAUAGUGGUUAUUGGGAAUUCACGAGAAGGUAUUCAGAAUACUGUUGAAGAACUGAUAAAGAUAGGAAAAGAUAUUGGCUUAACCAUAAACAGUGAAAAAACUAAAUACAUGAUGGUAAAGCGAGGAGGGGGUGACCAUAAUAACCUCCACGUGGGAAAUAACACCUUUGAAGAAGUACAAGAGUUCAAGUACCUUAGGUCUACCCUAAAUAACCAAAACAACAUGCAUGCUGAGAUC